rnacentral:rRNA from 1 species
UACGUAGGGUGCAAGCGUUAAUCGGAAUUACUGGGCGUAAAGCGUGCGCAGGCGGUUUUGUAAGUCUGUCGUGAAAUCCCCCGGGCUCAACCUGGGAAUGGCAAUGGAGACUGCAAGGCUAGAGUUUGGCAGAGGGGGGGUAGAAUUCCACGUGUAGCAGUGAAAUGCGUAGAGAUGUGGAGGAAUACCGAUGGCGAAGGCAGCCCCCCUGGGAUAAUACUGACGCUCAUGCACGAAAGCGUGGGGAGCAAACAGG